UAGUUUGGAUCUUAAAUGUCCUUCAAACUCCCAUGUAUUAAAGGCUUUGUCACCAGCCUGAAGCACUAUUGGGAGGUGGGGGAGGUGAAAACAGGUAUCAGGAGACUGACAAGCAUGUCCUUGAAGGGGACAUUGGGAUCUCAGCACCUUUCUUUCCCUUUGCCUCCUGGCCAUCAUGGGGUGAGCAGCUUUGCUCCACCAUGUUCCCCCGACAUGACAUUCUCCACAUACCCAAAAGCAGUGACCAUGAGCUGAAACCUCUGAAACCAUAAGCCAAAAUAAAUCUUUCUUCUUUUUAAGUUGAUUAUCUCCUGUAUUUUAUAAUAGUAACAGAAAACAAACACACUUAAUCAACUUUAAACUUUAAAUGGAAGAAAAAACAGGUAUUUUUUUAAGCUAAAAGCCCUUUAUAUUUGCCUGAAGUGAAUUUUCUAACAACUCAUGUUAAGAUUUUACUUCAGAUAAUACCAACUUGUAUAACAACAGUGUGGUAUCUGAUUCUAUUCUCAGUAGUGUAAAUGAAUUAGCUUUCUUAAUUCUUAAUUAACAAUUAUUAAUAAUUAGCUUUCUUAAUUCUUAAUUUCUGGAGCUACCUUGUCUUACCAAAUAAAAAUAAAGCUCUUCAUUGAAUUUAUCACAAGGUUGUUUCUGUUUUCAAAGACAAAGAUCAAAUUGAAAAUUGGGACAACUUGGGUCAUGUUUGCUAUUAUUUUAUACACUUUAAUAAACAGAAAGCAUAUGGCAUCUAUUUAUCAAGCAAUAUGAGCCUCUUAGUUUCCAAAUCUAUAAAAUCUGUAAAAUGGAAGUAUUGGUAGUAAUGUCAUUAUUUCUGUGAGGACUGCAUACAAUAACAUGUGUAAAAUGCUUGCUUGGUGUCAGGCACCUUGUAAGUGCUUACUUAGUAUCCCGUAGUGGCUAAAAAUGACAGUCCUAAAAGCCAGAUUGUCUGCUUGGAAGCACAGCUCC
rnacentral:lncRNA from 1 species